GGAUCUCAGUGGUAGAGUAUCUGUUUGACAUGCAGAAAGUCCCAAGCUCAAUCCCUGGCAUCACCC
rnacentral:tRNA from 1 species